UAAGGGUUCCUGGGUCAAGCUGAUCUGCCCAGGGUAAGUCGGGACCUAAGGCGAGGCCGACAGGCGUAGUCGAUGGACAACCGGUUGAUAUUCCGGUACCCGCUUUGAAACGCCCAAUAUCGAAUCAGGCGAUGCUAAGUCCGUGAAGCCGUCCUGGAUCCUUCGGGUGAAGGGGAGUGGUGGAGCCGACGAACCAGAGUUGUAGUAGGUAAGCGAUGGGGUGACGCAGGAAGGUAGUCCAGCCCGGGCGGUGGUAGUCCCGGGGUAAGGGUGUAGGCCGUGUGGUAGGCAAAUCCGUCACACAUUAAGGCUGAGACCUGAUGCCGAGCCGAUUGUGGUGAAGUGGAUGAUCCUAUGCUGUCGAGAAAAGCCUCUAGCGAGUUUCAUGGCGGCCCGUACCCUAAACCGACUCAGGUGGUCAGGUAGAGAAUACCGAGGCGUUCGGGUGAACUAUGGUUAAGGAACUCGGCAAAAUGCCCCCGUAACUUCGGGAGAAGGGGGGCCAUUUCCGGUGAUGGAAUUUACUUCCUGAGCUGGGGGUGGCCGCAGAGACCAGCGAGAAGCGACUGUUUACUAAAAACACAGGUCCGUGCGAAGCCGUAAGGCGAUGUAUACGGACUGACGCCUGCCCGGUGCUGGAACGUUAAGGGGACCGGUUAGC
rnacentral:rRNA from 1 species